CGGUAUUAGAAACUUGUGGGUGUGGGGGGCCAUUCUUUUACAGAUUUCAUCACAUUAUUCCUCGAAGAAGUGAAGGAAUCCAUUGUUUAUGAAAAAUUUCAGUAUCAAUAACUUUAAAAUAGACUUUACAGCGCCUCUCUGUGGAUGAGAAUUUUAGGAGAAAUAGAGAAGAAGUAGAAGAAGGAAGCGGGAGAUUUGGCAAAAGAAAUAGGGUUUUAG
rnacentral:lncRNA from 1 species